rnacentral:misc_RNA from 1 species
GACGAACUGUGCGAACGUUAAUCGGAAUUACUGGGCGUAAAGCGUGCGCAGGCGGUUGUGCAAGACAGAUGUGAAAUCCCCGGGCUCAACCUGGGAACUGCAUUUGUGACUGCACGGCUAGAGUGCGGCAGAGGGGGAUGGAAUUCCGCGUGUAGCAGUGAAAUGCGUAGAUAUGCGGAGGAACACCGAUGGCGAAGGCAAUCCCCUGGGCCUGCACUGACGCUCAUGCACGAAAGCGUGGGGAGCAAACAGG